rfam:Loxodonta africana unplaced genomic scaffold scaffold_45, whole genome shotgun sequence.
GCCCUGGUGGCACAGUGGUUAAAGCACUUGGCUGCUAACCAAAAAGUUGGUGGUUCAAACCCACCAGGCA